rnacentral:rRNA from 1 species
GACGAACGCUGGCGGCGUGCUUAACACAUGCAAGUCGAACGGAAAGGCCUCUUUCGGGGGGUACUCGAGUGGCGAACGGGUGAGUAACACGUGAGUAACCUGCCCUUGACUUUGGGAUAACUUCAGGAAACUGGGGCUAAUACCGGAUAGGAGCUCCUGCUGCAUGGUGGGGGUUGGAAAGUUUCGGCGGUUGGGGAUAGACUCGCGGCUUAUCAGCUUGUUGGUGGGGUAGUGGCUUACCAAGGCUUUGACGGGUAGCCGGCCUGAGAGGGUGACCGGCCACAUUGGGACUGAGAUACGGCCCAGACUCCUACGGGAGGCAGCAGUGGGGAAUAUUGCACAAUGGGUGGAAGCCUGAUGCAGCAACGCCGUGUGCGGGAUGACGGCCUUCGGGUUGUAAACCGCUUUCGCCUGUGACGAAGCGUGAGUGACGGUAAUGGGUAAAGAAGCACCGGCUAACUACGUG